AAGGGGAAGACUCACAUAGAGGCAGCAGUAGAGAAUCUUGUGCAAUAAACGUAAGUAUGCCACAGAGAGGACACAUUUAAUUGAGCCUGUCAAAUUAAGUGCCAGCCGACGCGGUUAGACUUAAGGGCUGGUCUUUAUAAGUAAAAGGCGUAAAGGAUGUGUAAGCCAAGAAUUAUCCAAGAAGGUAAAUGGAAUUUUUCUGGAGCGGUAGAAUGUGAGGAUAGAAAAUAGAACUCCUAAGGUUAAAACUAUUUACCACAAGGCCGGCUGAAACAUGAAAGUGUGGGGAGCAAACAGGAUUAGAGACCCUGGUAGUCUACACUGUGAACUUAGAAGAUGAGACCAUCUUCCGCCUGAGUAGUACGAUCGCAAGAUUAAAGUUCAAAAACUUUGGCUGUUCACUAUUUAGAUUAGAGGAGCGUGUAGUUUAAUUCGAUGGUCCGCGUGUCACCUCACCCCAAUUUGAAUCCGUGACCGGUAUUGCAUGGCCGUCGUAAGUCCGUGUGUUAAGCUAGAAGGGACCCAACCCGGGGAUCUGCCCGGAGGAAGUCAGGUCUUAUGAUCCGAAUGUUGGGGGAUUUAUGCGCUACAUUUUCUUAUAUAAUGAGAUACUUGGAAGGUGAAUCUCUAAAGUAAGAGUUCGGAAGGUCGCUGUAAGACGACUGGAAAGUUGGAUUUAAUAGUAAUCGGAAAGUAGGGCGUUCCGGUGAAUUGGUGUAAGUGUUAGCACAAAUUGCCCGUCGCCUUUGCCUAGAGUGGUUAUUCGGACGCCUUCGGUGGUUACGAAUGCCUACGAGGUA
rnacentral:rRNA from 1 species